UCCUGGACUUGAGUACGAUCGAAAGUAUAAAAGACACGAGACACGAAGUUGUUUGUACAGUCGACUCAAGAUGAUGGCACGAAAUUGUGAUUCAUGUUCGUUUGUUCUGAGAUGCGUCUUUUUGACGUGUCUCGUCAUUCUUCAUGCCGCAAAAGGAGAAAGUUGCGAUAAAACAAAAUGUCCUGGCCCUCUGAGAUAUUACAAGGAACUCGGCUGUACUCCUGUAUAUAAGAACCCUGAUGACUGUUGCGCUGAGGAAUACGACUGUAGUCACUUGAAAAGUUUGUCAAAGGAUAAGUGUUAUGCAAAUGGUCAUGAGUAUAACAUUGGUGAUAAAUUAAGAGACGAGGAUGCGAAUCCUUGCGACGCUGAAUGCAGAUGUAGGUCGUAUGAGGAUCGCGCUGCCAGUUUCGUUUGCGCGGCUCUCGAUUGUGGUAUAGCCUUCACACCUGGCUGUUACAACAAAAACUCGGUUGGUCAAUGUUGUCCAGGACCACUUGUUUGUCCCGAGAAGGGGGAGGAAAGAGCUACUUGUGAAGUAGAUGGGAAAAUUUAUAUGGAUGGGGAAUUCUUCAAACCUAAUUCUUCUGACCCGGACUUGAGCUGUUACUGUCAGCCAGGAUAUAAAGGUGAAAACGUGGAACCCUUUUGCAAGAUGCCAAAUCGCAGUUAUUGUUCUCCCUUAUUCCGGAAUGCACCUGCUAUACACCAAAAUUGUGCACCUGUGUUUUACAAUAACCAAAAUCCACAACAAGAUUGUAGCUAUGCUUCAAGAUGUCAAAACGCGAAUGAUACCGUUAUUCAUAAACACGAGAGUGGUAAAUCCCUUUCUGAAGAAGACAAUAAAACAUGUCAGUUUGGUGACAUGAAGAUGCACAUAGGUGACGAACUUAAUCAAGGAACAAACUAUGAUUCCACUUGCGUGAAAUGCGUGUGUGAAGUGCCACCUUAUCCUACAUGUCAACGACUUCCGGACAAUGAAUGCGAUGUCACAGAUCAUGGCCUGUUUAUCAAUUUGUAGUUUUGGCUUGGAUUAUUAUCAGAUCGUAGAUGUUUGUAUAUUUGUAGAAUACUAUAGUGCAUAAAGAGUACUCAUAUGUACAAAACAAAUUACCAGAAUGAUAAAAUGAUAUUUGAAAAUAAAAGAUAAGUGCACGUAAAUCUAUACCGAGUGGAAUAUUAAUUCUAAACCAUGGUUACCAUCAAAUUUUCAAGGCUUUUCUUAUGAUCAUUAUGUACCCCUUUUUUUUUAAAGAAAUACAUUUUUAUAGUUUUCACGUUUCAGAAGUGUACAAACAAUAUCUCAAGGGAAUCGACAAAUACUUUAUGUUUUCAA